rnacentral:rRNA from 1 species
CACGUAGGGUGCGAGCGUUGUCCGGAAUUAUUGGGCGUAAAGCGUGCGCAGGCGGCUUUGCAAGACAGAUGUGAAAUCCCCGGGCUUAACCUGGGAACUGCAUUUGUGACUGCAUGGCUGGAGUGCGGCAGAGGGGGAUGGAAUUCCGCGUGUAGCAGUGAAAUGCGUAGAUAUGCGGAGGAACACCGAUGGCGAAGGCAAUCCCCUGGGCCUGCACUGACGCUCAUGCACGAAAGCGUGGGGAGCAAACAGG